rnacentral:rRNA from 1 species
GAGUUUGAUCCUGGCUCAGGAUGAACGCUGGCGGCGUGCUUAACACAUGCAAGUCGAACGGUGAAAGAGAGCUUGCUCUCUGGAUCAGUGGCGAACGGGUGAGUAACACGUGAGCAAUCUGCCCCUGACUCUGGGAUAAGCGCUGGAAACGGCGUCUAAUACCGGAUACGAGCUGCGAAGGCAUCUUCAGCAGCUGGAAAGAACUUCGGUCAGGGAUGAGCUCGCGGCCUAUCAGCUAGUUGGUGAGGUAAUGGCUCACCAAGGCGUCGACGGGUAGCCGGCCUGAGAGGGUGACCGGCCACACUGGGACUGAGACACGGCCCAGACUCCUACGGGAGGCAGCAGUGGGGAAUAUUGCACAAUGGGCGCAAGCCUGAUGCAGCAACGCCGCGUGAGGGACGACGGCCUUCGGGUUGUAAACCUCUUUUAGCAAGGAAGAAGCGAAAGUGACGGUACUUGCAGAAAAAGCGCCGGCUAACUACGUGCCAGCAGCCGCGGUAGUACGUAGGGCGCAAGCGUUAUCCGGAAUUAUUGGGCGUAAAGAGCUCGUAUGCGGUUUGUCG